AACGAACGCUGGCGGCAUGCCUAACACAUGCAAGUCGAACGAGACCUUCGGGUCUAGUUGCGCACGGGUGCGUAACGCGUGGGAACCUGCCCUUAGGUUCGGAAUAACUCCCCGAAAGGGGUGCUAAUACCGGGUAAUGUCUUCUGACCAAAGAUUGAUCGCCUUUGGAUGGGCCCGCGUUGGAUUAGCUAGUUGGUAGGGUAAAAGCCUACCAAGGCGACGAUCCAUAGCUGGUCUGAGAGGAUGAUCAGCCACACUGGGACUGAGACACGGCCCAGACUCCUACGGGAGGCAGCAGUGGGGAAUAUAGGAAAAUGGGCGAAAGCCUGAUGCAGCACGGCCGCGUGAGUGAUGAAGGCCUUAGGGUUGUAAAGCUCUUUUACCCGGGAUGAUAAUGACGGUACCGGGAGAAUAAGCUCCGGCUAACUCCGUG
rnacentral:rRNA from 1 species